rnacentral:rRNA from 1 species
GACGAACGCUGGCGGCGUGCUUAACACAUGCAAGUCGAACGGAAAGGCCUGCUUUCCCUUGUGGAUUGCGGGUACUCGAGUGGCGAACGGGUGAGUAACACGUGAGUGAUCUGCCCCCAACUUGGGUAUAAGCCUGGGAAACUGGGUCUAAUUCCCGAUAGGACUGCAGGGUGGUGCCUGUGGUGGAAAACGAUUUUCUAGUGGUUGGGGAUGAGCUCGCGGCCUAUCAGCUUGUUGGUGGGGUAAUGGCCUACCAAGGCGGCGACGGGUAGCCGGCCUGGGAGGGUGGACGGCCACAUUGGGACUGGGAUACGGCCCAGACGCCUACGAGAGGCAGCAGUGGGGAAUAUUGCACAAUGGGCGGAAGCCUGAUGCAGCGACGCCGCGUGGGGGAUGACGGCCUUCGGGUUGUAAACUCCUUUCGACCGCGAGGAAGCCACCUGGUUGGAAGGGUGGUGACGGUAGUGGUAGAAGAAGCACCGGCUAACUACGUG